rnacentral:rRNA from 1 species
GACGAACGCUGGCGGCGUGCUUAAUACAUGCAAGUCGAACGGAAAGGCCCUGCUUUUGUGGGGUGCUCGAGUGGCGAACGGGUGAGUAACACGUGAGUAACCUGCCCUUGACUGUGGGAUAACUUCACGAAACUGGGGCUAAUACCGGAGAGGAGCUACUGCUGCAUGUUGGGGGUUGGAAAGUUUCGGUGGUUGGGGAUGGACUCGCGGCUUAUCAGCUUGUUGGUGGGGUAGUGGCUUACCAAGGCUUUGACGGGUAGCCGGCCUGAGAGGGUGACCGGCCACAAUGGGACUGAGAUACGGCCCAGACUCCUACGGGAGGCAGAAGUGGGGAGUAUUGCACAAUGGGCGGAAGCCUGAUGCAGCAACGCCGCGUGCGGGAUAACGGCCUUCGGGUUGUAAACCGAUUUCGCCUGUGACAAAGAGUGAGUGACGGUAAUGGGUAAAGAAGCACCGGCUAACUACGUG